rnacentral:lncRNA from 1 species
AUGGAGGAUCUCUGCGGAGAGAUUACGGCGGAAGACUCGCCACGUUGUGCCGUAAGAAGCAGAGGUGAUGUCAUGCUGGUUGCUGCUGAUGAUUUUCCAUGUGGGAAGAGGCGGGGGUCUGUCAGCAAAGAUGGCACCGUUUUGGACCAAGGCCUUGUGGGCCAGGGAGCGAUCGGCGAUAAAGAUAGCCGGGCGAGGGCCGACAUAGAGCGUGAAGACGGGGCCAAGCUUGGAGUGAAGGUUUCUGAGGAUUGGUUCGAUUUCGGUGAAAGAUUUGAGAAGCCACCGAAGGUUGCCGAUGAGGGGGACAUUGAAGGGGCCUGGAGGAAGAUUGGUUUUGUAUUUGGAGGAGAUGAUAACGCCGAUGAAAGCUUUGAGAAGGGCAGCAACGGCGAUUGAGAUUAGGAUGAUGAACCCGAAUUCCAUUUCUGCAAAUUGAUAAGUCAAAAAAGAGUAAACGGUGUGACGAAUAAUAAUAAUAAUUAAUAUUCAGUUGGUUGUAAGCAACUGGCGGUGUGUAGUUUUCGAAAGCGUUCGUGUUUAUAUAAGCCAAUCUUGAAUUAUUUUGAAUGUGAUUGUCCCAAGCAACUGGCGGUGUGUAGUUUUCCAAAGCGUUGGUGUUUAUACAAGUCAAUCUUGAAUUAUUUUGACUGUGAUUGUCCCAAUAUAUUUUUGGUCAUGUCUCUGGUCUACCAAUUGCUACAUAUCUCAAUGAAUUAUUUUGAAUGUGAUUGUCCCAAGAUAUUUUUGGUCAUGUCUCUGGUCUGCCAAUUGCUACAUAUCUCAAAAUUUUAAUUCAAAAAAAUUAUCUAAUUAAUUAACUUAUAAUUGAUGAAAAACAGAAACUACUUAAUAAAUAAAAUAUUAAAUGCCAUAUAGUUUGAGAUAUCUAUUAUUACCUUUUUACUAUAUAUAUAUAUCCACAACUUUUCCUUCCAUAUGAUUAUCUAUAUCAAUAAUUGUUUAAAAUGUGUAAACAUAUGCAUAUAGUAAAAAUACUUAUAUUUAAUGACAGAAUAUGGAAAUAAUUCUGUAAUAACUAGAAUGAUAACACUAAAUCAUUUAGCACUGAUAUGUUUUUCAAGGAAUCAAGGAUUAAUUAAUUAGGAUUUCCAAGUCGACAGGAGUUAGUUUUAGGUGGGUGCCAUACUGCCAAUCUGCCAUUAAUAUACUGAGUGCACCAAUUCGAGACUCUAUACUGGUUUUUACAAAUUUUUUUUUGUUUUAUGUAUUUCUUUUUAAAUAUGAUUAGUAGAACUAGAAGUACAUUUUCCAAUUCUACUUAUAUAUUUAAACUAUAUUAUAAUAAGUUUAGAAUCUCGUAAACCUUAUAAUAUAUUUGUAGAUUCUAACUACUUAAUUGGUAUUUGGUUUAUUAAAUUAAUUACUGACAAUCAAUAACGGUUUGGAAAUAUCAUAAAUAUCAAUUUAAAAUUAGUUUAUUUAAUCAAAGGAUAAGACUAUUUGAACCCACUAAUUUAUUUUCUACAUCAUCUUUUUAAUUAAGAGUUUUAUUACAUAAAUAAUUUUCUUAAAAAUUACUUAAUUAACGUUUCUUCUUUUUCUCUUCUCAAUUUCAUAAAUUUUCAUCAAUUUAGUUCUAAAAGUUAAUGAAUAUAAAAAUUAAUUUUUAUCAGACACAAAAGCAAAUGAAAAUCAAUAAUAAAAUUCUUAUAUACAAAAAGCAUGAAAUAAAGAUUAUGAUAUAAUUAGAAAUACCAAAAAAUGAAUUCAAAAAAUAAAAUAAAAUUGAGUUUCUAAUUUACAAAAUAUGAGAGUAGAAAGAGAAUACACAAUUAUAAGAUAGAGAGAGAAAGAGAUUAGUGAAGGUAACUUUAAAAUUUUUAAUAAAAUGGGUGUAGAGAGGAAUUUGGUGGGUUAGCCCCACCCUUUAUCAAAUAGCAAAGAAAAUCUUGUAUGUUAUGCUUUUUGGAUUGGUGUAUGUUUGUCACUCAGCCUUUGGCCGAGUGGUUGAGUUGCUGCCCUCACAAGCCCCCACAAAAGUAUUGUGGGGGCUAUAAUAUUUGUAAGUCAUUCUCCCUUGUGAAAUGCGAGUGGAGUAGUGACAUCCCUCGUCUGUGAGGGUUAUUUGUCUGGAUAUGUAUUUCAUAAAAUUUAAUCUAAUAUUGUAAGUCUCAGUUAUGUAUAUCUUACUGUAAAUAUCAGUAUAAUGUCUGCUAUAAUAGCAUUUGUAAAUAUCUGCUAUAAUAUGUAAUCAGUAUUAAAAAAAAAAUUAGUGUAUGUUUUUAUUUUCGUUAAAUUCUAGAAAUAUUUUUCAAAUAAUGAAUAAAUACAAAAAAUAGAAAAAUAAAUGUCCACCUCAUCAUCUCUAAUUUUCAAUUGCUGAAAAUUAUUUUGAUUUUACACUACCAGAAGGUAAUAAAACUGUUUAAUUAUUCCAGCGCUUCAAUAUAGUAGAUUUGUACAGUGCUGACACAUGUUCAUUAGCUCAUCCUUUGAUGAGCAAAGUUGCCAAAUAAAUUUUAGUCAAAACAAGGUGUUUGUCAUAAAUAACAAACUGUUCGACGAAAUGCCAGAGUGAAGAGCCAGUUAGCGGGAAGUCAUAAUUUGAAUUCUAGAGCACAUGUAGAACCACCAAAGGAUAAGAAUGAAAGCCCUUAAAGAAUCUAGAAGCAGGUUUUGACAAUCCAAGGCCAGACAUCAAAUGAAAUAAUGGAGGAUUGGACUGCGCAGUGAAUAGAUAUUAGUUUGCUUUGAUAAUCUUUUAAUAAAGGCCAUAGGUGAAGAAAUGUUACAGCAUGUAAUCAUAGCACAGGUAUAUAAAUAAGGGUGUGUAUUCAUUAAUAAAAGUAAGCUGGUUUCAUCAAAAUCGUAGUUCAUGGUUUAAUUAAUGUUCUCUGCAUAGCAACGUAACCUUAGGAUUUCGGUGUUUUAUAUUAACAACUAUUAUUUAUGAACAAAUUUACACAUAUGGCUUUGAUAACAUCAAUUGUGAAACUCGAAUGAUGCAAAAGUUGGAUGUGCAUAGGUAUGUGUACAGCGAAUACACAACACACAUAUAUUCAGAAAAUAUGACCAAUAUUUGAUAACUUCAUAAAAUUAUGGAAAGCUUGGAAAGUAAUUGAUAGUCAGAUGAGUAAAGAGACUUUAUAUUGUAGCUUUAACAGCCAUAAUAAAAUUAUUAACAUGCCUUCUCUUAUCCCUUGCUCUAAAAUACUGGGUAAAACUCGUUUAGUUCCUAUAUUUUAGCUUACGUUGAAUUGUGAUGGUUUAAAUAGUAGAAGAUAUAUGUAAGAGGACAAAGAAGAAAAAAUAGUGUGUUUAGGUUUGAUUGUGAUGGUAUAUGUUUAAUUAUUACUGUCUUUUAUUAGGAAGGCUGUGAAUUCAAGAUUUAGACAAUAAAUGAAUGAGUGUUAACUUAUGUUGCCUAGCGAAAAUUUUCAAUAUUGUAUUAUAAAAAUGUUGUCUUCCCAAAGAAUGUUAUAUUCAAGAAAUCAUAAUAUAGGCAAUUAAAAUCAUAAUGUUGUCUUCGCUCAAAUUGAGGAAGAAAAUUAAACCCCCACAAAAUAGUAGACGCAUCACUAAAAUAACUUGAUAUUUGAAAGGUUUAAAAUCUUCAUUAAUUGUGGGGGUUUAAUUUACUUUCUCAAUAUAACACCCUAAGCAAAUCCCACAUUGGCAAAGCACGAGAGAGAUGAUAAGUUUAUAAGAGAUGAUUCAUACAUUACUUGGCAAGAAGCGUUUUAGGGUGUAUGGGCGUCUCAGGAACAAAACCAUGCGGGUCUUGUUAAGACUCAAAACGGACAAUAUCUUGCUAAGUCUAGGUUGGGUCAUGACAUUAUGGUAUCAGAGCGGCUCCGCGUGUUCUCUUGAGCGAUGGUGGGACAAACCUCAGCGAGGAUGCUGAGUUCCUAAGUAGGGUGUAUGUAACACCCUAGGCAUAUCCCACAUCGGCAGAGAUUCUGGAUUUAUAAGGGGUGAUCUAUACCUUAAUUGACAAGACGCAUUUUGGGGUGUAUGGCUACCCUAGGAACAAAACAGUGCGAGCCUUAUUAAGGCUCAAAGCGGACAAUAUCUUGCCAGGUCUAGGUUGGGUCAUGACACUGUCUUUAAGUAAAGACCGUCUUCUUCUUUUUCGAAAUGUGAGUGGAGCAGACGUCCCUCGAAUAUUAGAAAGGGUAAAAAAUCUAAGCGGCGCUUCAUAAAAAUUAAUGUAAACUAGUCCCAGUAAUAGUAAAUUGAUGUAAACUAAUUUCAGUAAUAGUCUGAUUUAUAAAUAUCAAUUGUAAUCUCAUAUAAUAUGAGUUGUACUCUUGAGCAAUAGUCUCAUGUAUUAAAAAAAAAAAUUCAUUAAAGCACCCAUCCUGCACAAGUAUUUCACUAUGUUUAGAAAGUGAUAAUUUAUCUUAAUAUCCCAUUAUAGUAUGAGGCCUACAUUUAUGUCACUUCAGCAGCUGGGGUAAUUUACCGGAGUAGUGAUAAUAAAUUUUGGUGUUUUAAUCUUGCUUCUUCCUCUUCUUCUAUCUUUUUUUUUUCUUUUAAUAAUAUUACUUUGCAUGGUAUAGUAUACAUUGACUAAUAAAUACACUUGUAUUCGAAGUAUUUAACAAUAUUUGACUUAUCAGUGAAAAAAAAAUAUAUGUGACUUAUAUUAAUUAGUCUUCCAACUUGUUUGAAAAUGUUAGCUAUCAAUAAGGUGGUUGUAACACUGAUAUUAAUAUCGCUUUGACUUGGCACAUCAUCCCACCUUCACAGCUACAACUAACUUAAUCAUUUAAUUUUGCAGUAGAUCAAAACACACGGUAUCCCAAUAUUAUUGGAGAAAUUCUACAAUACUCUUAAUGUAUUAUAAUUAAUUGAUAUAUAUAUAUAUGAUAUGUGUAGUUGAAUUUAAUACAAUUAUUAUUUGUAACAUAAUUUUUUAAAAUAAAUACACACAUAUUAUAAUACUAUUUAUUUAUUGUAUAGUUGAAAUUGUACCUCAAAUGUAUUUUAAAAUUUCUCAUAUUAUUGAGUGAAAAAAAAAAAAUUAUCAAACGUGUCAUCCUUAUCCACGGAUGAAAGGAAAGCAAUAUAUACAGAAGGGGUCAAAAAUUUACAUGGUGAAUCAUUCAAUCAAUACAUGCCAAGUGUUUUGACUUUCCUUUCCUCUCUCUCUCUCUCUAUAUAUAUAUAUUAUCAUCAAAUUCAGAAUAAUUAUGCGUGUGUCCAAAAGAAGAACAUUAAUCAUUUUACUUUUUUUUUUCUUUUUUGGUUCUAAUACGUGCAUCAUGCAUGUUAAAAAAAAAAAAAACAAUGAUGUCUGCUGCCUACUGGUAGAAACUUGUGUACGUAAUUCACACGUUAAAAAAGAAAAAAAAAAUGAUCUAUAGAUCGUAUUCGUGACACCUCGAGUUCUUGUAUUUUAUGAACACCAAAAUUAGUGGUUAGUUGCGUUUUAUCAGCAAAUCCAAACUACAACUAUAUAUAUGUGUAUAUAUAUAUAUAUAUAUAUACAAGUCAUCUAUUUUGAUGCUUUCUUGUUCUUUGUUGUUUGUCGAUUGUCUCCUCCAUUCUAUAACGUCACCACUUAGGUAAUAAUAUGAAGUGAUAACUAGUGGAAAUGACGAAUAGCCCCUGAACAAAUGUUUAGUAAUUUUUUUUUUUUUUUGGGAUAUUAUCAUUUUACAUGUGGCCUAAUAUUUUCUGACAUAUCAUUUUAUUACCAACGUUUUCUAACAAUUAAUUUUUCACACUUAAUGUUUCAAUUUUUAUCAAUUUAUCACCAAAACAUUAACUCCAUUAAUAAAAUGCUGAUGUCACAGCAGUAUUUUAAGAAUUUCAGUAUAGUCAGUAUUUUAAGAAUUAUAAUAUCUACAAUUUUAUCAAUUAAUUAUUUGAGAUAUAUAAAAUAAUCAAUUGAUAAAAGUAUUGUUUAGAUGGUUAAAUUAUACUCCAGUUUAGGAAUAAACUAGACUUGUACUAUAAUUUCUAUUAAAAAUUAUGUUAACUUUAACGGUUUGAGGGUAAAAUGAUAAAAACUAAAAUAUUAAGUGGAGAAAAGCAAUUGUUAUAGAAAAUUUUGGUGGGGUAAAGUGUGGUAAAGUGUGUGUUGUAUAUUUAUUUAUUCCUUAUAACAAUUUUUUAACUAAUUAAGUUCGUUGAAAUUUUUAAUACUUCAUUUUAUUAUUGAAAUUAAAAUUUUAAUAGAAAUUCUCUUUAAAGAGUAAAUGUAAACUUUUAACAUACAAAUUGAUAGUCCUUAAAAAUUUGACAUGUUUUUGUUGGGAAAAUAUGCGCUUUAAAAGCAUAUAUGUUUAUUUAAUUGUAAUAAACUAUUUUUCUGAUUAAUAAAAUAAAUGAGGUAUUUUAUUCAAAUAUCUUAAUUGCAUUAAUACUUGUAUUAAAGUCCAUUUAAUCAUAUUAUAUAUAUUUAUGUGAUCACCAUGUGGAUUCACAGAAGAUAUAAAUACAAGUUAUCUUAUGAUUAAAUAAAUUUAGUUCGCAGUUGAUAAAUAAAGUUGGGCACUUUAUUUAGGUAUAGAUUGUAAUAAAUUCAUUGAAUGAUUUGUCUUAAUCAUGUAUGAAUUUAUUGAUGUAGUACGACUACAUUGAACAGGAUCACAUAUGAGAUUUAAUUAAUUUUGUAAUAACUGUCAGACUUAUUAAAUCUCAUAUGCGUUGAUUUUACUGUAAUCUUAAUCUUGAGUUAAUUAUGAUUUCAUGAUUGUAAUUGUUAUUUCAUUUGAGUUACCAAUGGGCACGACACAUCCUUGUGGUCAAGAUUAUCCGGUAUCUUGGUGGGAGCAAUUAUGAGUAUUGGAGUUAUGGAUUAACAAUAUAGAAUUUGUACAACACAUCUCUUGAUGGGUUUUCGGCACUUGAUCAUAGAAUUCUCUGGCCAGAGUGUGUCAACAUAUUUAGUAUGUUGAAAAUGAACAUUAGAGAAAACCAGUAAGGAUCAAGGAAUAAGAUGUUAUUAAAUUGAUUGGACAGUUGAGAUAUCAAUUUAAUUAACGAUGUGGUACAAAGGAUUGUGCAGUAAAUAAAUCAAUGUGGCUUGGGACGAAUUAUUAUUCGAGCAUACAAUUAUGGAAGUCAGUUCCAAUCUUUUAGUGGAGUAGAUUUGGAAUUAAAUAAUUGGGCUAGUUUAAUUACAGACCUAAUUAUUGUAGCCACUAUUGUAUGUUCCCAAAUGAUCCCCGGGUUAGCUCAUUUAAUUGACUGCACCACUACUGGACUAAUAAGUAAGAUAACUAGCUAUUUGGGUCAAAAGCCUAAAUAUAUCAUUUAGUGGGAGGCUCCAUUUAAUUAGCUUUUGUAUAAGGGGUCUUAUGUUAUUUUACAAGGUGGGUCCCCUAUUGAAAAAGAAAAUAACGUGAGUUUUAUUUAGGGCAUUAUUUGGAGCCUAGGGUUUUCACUAAAGGGAGAUAUAUAAGGCUUAUUUUCUCUAAAAAAGAAAGAGAAGCCACUUUAUACAGAUCAGAGAAAAAGAUUUUUCUCUCUAUUGUUGAGAGAAAAAUGUUCUCGUGCUAGUUGCUUUGGUAGUGAUAAAGGUGCCCACACGUCAAGUGCAGAUCGAACCUGAGUCAUAACCUGGAAGAUCAUUGGAGACUGUUCGUGAUCUAACAAGCGUGGUGGUGACGGAUCGUGAUCUAACAGGAGUGGUGGUGGCGGAUCGUGAUCUAGGAGCCUAAAACACUUCAGCAGAAAAAGCCAACUCGGAUUUUUAAGGUACGAUUUCUAAAAUACAAAUUCUUAUAUAUUAUAUGAGAGCGAUCUUCAAAAGGUUUUAUAAAAAUUUAAAAACCUAAUUUUUCCCCAACAGUUUUAACACAUAUGAAUGUCAAUUGAAAUGUCAUGUUUAUAAGUCAAAAUACAUAUAUAUAUUUUUUUAUGUUUACUUUUUAACAUGAAAGAUAAUAUUUGAUGUUUAACUUCAAUCAUUGAAGCAACAUGUGUUAUUCUCACUUUUGAUUAUUGGCUAUAUAACGGUGGGAGUAUGAUAAAGAUAAAGGGCUUCACUUUUGAUUAUCGGCCCUUUGAGUUGACAGUUUUUGUGGUGCAGUCCAUAUUGAUGCAAGAGUUUUUGGCACCAGCAAAUGGACCAGAUCAGGCUGGUGAUGAGGCCUUCGAGGGAAAAACCGUUGAUGUUAAGGUGGGAACUAAUUUAAGGAUUGCUUAUUGCUUAUAUAGUUACAAACUAUUAUCAAUAUUACGGGCACAUCAAAUAAAUCGCUUGUAUCAGUAACAAGAUGGGACAAUGAGGUGGUAGCCCGUUGACACAACCCAUGCACUCAAAUAUUGGUUUGAGCCCUGAUAAUAGUUGGGACUUGAUUCUCUCCUAAUUAGAUUGGGUAGGCGUAAAAUUCCUCCUCUGAGAAUUGAAUACCUAUAUUAUGUGGUGAUAUAAAUUCAAGCUGUGUCAUAUUGGGCUAACAAAAAUAGUGUCUGUAGGUUUUUUUAUUUAUUAUAAAUAUCAAUAGAAUUUCAAUGUUCUUUUAAUUAGUUGGUCCUUUCUUCCACUUCGGUGAUGAUGUUCUUUACUGUAAAAACAUAAAGAAAACGUGAGAGUCUACUUACGAGGCUUUUAUUUAAGAGUGCUGCUAGGUAGCGAGAGGGACGAGAGAAUGAUAAGAGAAACGGUAGCAGUUGCUGCCGUUUCGCCGCUCGUUCCUCUCGCUCAUUAAAACAUUAAAAAAUUUAAAAUUUUUGAAUAAAGAAAUGGCGCGUGAAAUCACGCAGGCUUUCACUUUCCUUCCUCACGCAUGCUUUCACUUUCCUCUCUCUCCAGCCAGAGUCCCAUACUCCACGGAACGGCAGUUUGAGUCUCUAAACUGCAUCCAAUCAGCUUUAAAAUAUGUUUGUGACUCAUUUGUGAUGUAUAUGCGAUGUUGUUAAUCGAAGUAUUAUAAAACUUCAUAGCAGAAAUAUUUUGCUCAAUUCCUAUAUACGUACUAUAUUUAUAUAUGUAGCCUCUACUACUGUUGAUUUAUUCCAAAAUGAUUCCUUAUCUUCCUUCUCCGAAUACCAAAUUGCUCUAACACACUCAGGAUCAUCUAAACUUCUACAAACCCAAAAAAUGACUUCACUUUAUUUAACAAUGAAAUCAAGGAUUUUAAGAACAUUAAAGGAAAUAUAACAAAAGGGAGUUUGGAGAUGUCACAGGUGCAUGUGGAUGCGCAAAUCUGGAAUGCAGAUAAACAAAAACAGAGGAACUCUGUACUUGGGCCCCUGCAGCAAAGUGAAUAAAACAAGAAAUGAUGUUUCUUCUUUCUGAGUAUGGAAGUGAUUUUGUCCAUAAAAUAUUCAAUUUGGUCUACAAUUCAAAGUCGUUAAAAUAGAAGUUAAGACAAUUGAUGCUUUAGGGAUUUGUCGUGAGAGAGGAGCGUGAGGGAGAGAGGAAAGUAGGCUGGAGAUAUGGUAGAUAAGGUUGGAUUUCUCUAUGCACGCACCCAUUUCUUUAUGAAUUCUUUAUUCAUUCUUUUUAUUUUUUUAAUGUAUUAAAAAGCGAGAAGAACGAGAAGCGAAACGGCAGCAGACGGCAGCAACUGCUGCCGUUUCUCUCGUCAUUCUCUCGUUCCUCUCGCUACCUAGCAUUUUCCUUUAUUUAAAGUCUAUAAAGCGAUGGUAAGCUUGGUCAGAUGCCUUCCUCUAAGUUGAUUUGGCCAAGGCCUACCAACCAUUAGAUUUCCAUAGGAGAUGACAAAAUUACCACAAACAGAACGAUGGUACAUAUAAUUAUGCCAAUAUUAAUAUAGAAGUCUUACUUAAUUUUUAAAUGCAUAAUAAUACUAAUAAUAAUAAUCAGGUGAGUUAUGUUCUUAUCUAGUUCUAGGAGAAAGAAGAGCCUGCAAUGGAUUCUUCAUCACAACAGUAAACUCUUGCUUCUCAGUCAAAUCAACCUCAUCACCAUCCACAGCCGUCCACUCAAAAUUCCAAACCAAAUUAGCCACAAAAUACUCCAAAUGAAGCAUAGCCAAACCAAAACCGGGACAGAUUCUCCUGCCAGCUCCAAAUGGCAUCAUCUUAAUUUCCCUACUCCCCGUUAUGUCAAAAUCUUGAUCAUGAUCAUUCAAAAACCUCUCGGGCUUAAACCCCAUCGGAUCCUCCCAAACUUUCGGAUCCCAACCCAUUUCGGCCACCAUGAAAUUCACACUCCCGUCCUUUGGUAUCACAUACUUAUCAUCAAGAACGAAAUCCUCUGUCACGGCAUGUGGCAACACGAAAUGCCCAGGCGGGUGCCUCCUCAGUCCCUCUAAAAUCACUGCUUUCAGAUACGGCAUCUUCUGCAACUCCUCCUCUUUCACCUCUUCAUUUUCACCAACAACUCCUCUGAUUUCCGUAUAAACCGUCUCUUGAACGUGCGGGUGCUUCACCAGAUUGGCCAUGAUCCACUGUAGCGCCGUGGAGGUAGUGUCAGUGCCCGCGUUGAGAAAUUCUGAACACAAACUCACAAUUUCCUCUUCGCUAAGCUUUCUUUUCUCUUCAGGAAGCUGUAAAUCUAACAGAGUAUCCACAUACGAUAACACAUACUCCCUCUCCUUAAUGCUGAGGCUCUCUUCUUCUUUCAUCUUCUUUCUUGCUCUUAUCAAAGGAACCAAUACGUUUUCUUGAUCUCUACGAAUCUGCAAGAACUGCUCCCACUUCUUAACAAAAACAAUUUUUGAUAAUCUUGGCCAGAAAUUCAAUAUAUUGAAAUUCCCAAAAGUCAACAGCUGUGUGCGCUGAACGUUCUCAAUUUUUUUGAUUUGGGAUUCAUCAAGCUUGUCUCCGAAACACAUGAGCACCAACAAGCAAAACAUGGCGUAUUGGAAAUGAUCAAGAACACGAACAGGGACAGGGCGGUCCCCAUUUUUGGACUCUGACUUUAAACGAUUCAAGAGAAUUUCAAGAACCCAUUUGCGGGCGUGCUUGUAGGAUUUCACACGAGAGGGAUGGAGGAUCUCUGCUGAGAGAUUACGGCGGAAGAGCCGCCACGUUGUGCCAUAAGAAGCAGAGCUGAUGUUAUGCUGGUUGCUGCUGACGAUUUUGUUUGUGGGAAGAGGCCGGGGUCUGUCAGCAAAGAUGGCGCCGUUUUGGACCAAGGCCUUGUGGGCCAGUGAGCGAUCGGCGAUAAAGAUAGCCGGGCGAGGGCCGAUAAAGAGCGUGACGACGGGGCCAAGCUUGGAGUGAAGG